GCGCCUGUAGCUCAGGGGAUAGAGCAGUGGUUUCCUAAACCGCGUGUCGGAGGUUCGAAUCCUUCCAGGCGCA
rnacentral:tRNA from 2 species